rnacentral:rRNA from 1 species
UACGUAGGAGGCAAGCGUUAUCCGGAAUUAUUGGGCGUAAAGCGUCCGCAGGUGGCGAUUCAAGUCUGCGGUCAAAGACUGGGGCUUAACCCUGGAAAGGCCGUGGAAACUGAAAAGCUAGAGUGCAGUAGGGGUAGAGGGAAUUCCCGGUGUAGCGGUGAAAUGCGUAGAGCUCGGGAAGAACAUCGGUGGCGAAAGCGCUCUGCUGGACUGCAACUGACACUCAGGGACGAAAGCUAGGGGAGCGAAUGGG